GGUCAAGCGAAUAAGCGCACACGGUGGAUGCCUUGGCGGUCAGAGGCGAUGAAGGACGUGGCAGCCUGCGAAAAGUAUCGGGGAGCUGGCAACAAGCUUUGAUCCGGUAAUGUCCGAAUGGGGAAACCCACCCGCUUGCGGGUAUCCUGCAGUGAAUACAUAGCUGCUGGAAGCGAACCUGGUGAACUGAAAUAUCUAAGUAACCAGAGGAAAAGAAAUCAACCGAGAUUCCGUAAGUAGCGACGAGCGAACGCGGACUAGCCCUUAAGCUGGAUUGGUUCUAGGAAAACGCUCUGGAAAGAGCGGCCAUAGAAGGUGAUAGCCCUGUAUCUGAAAGGGCCAUUCCAGUGAAGACGAGUAGGGCGGGGCACGUGAAACCCUGUCUGAACAUGGGGGGACCAUCCUCCAAGGCUAAAUACUACUGACCGACCGAUAGUGAACCAGUACCGUGAGGGAAAGGCGAAAAGAACCCCGGAGAGGGGAGUGAAAUAGAACCUGAAACCGUGUGCGUACAAGCAGUAGGAGCUCCGCAAGGAGUGACUGCGUACCUUUUGUAUAAUGGGUCAGCGACUUACUGUUCGUGGCAAGCUUAACCGUAUAGGGGAGGCGAAGGGAAACCGAGUCUGAUAAGGGCGCAUAGUCGCGGGCAGUAGACCCGAAACCGGGUGAUCUAGUCAUGCCCAGGGUGAAGGUGCGGUAACACGCACUGGAGGCCCGAACCCACUCCCGUUGCAAAGGUAGGGGAUGAGGUGUGAUUAGGAGUGAAAAGCUAAUCGAACCCGGAGAUAGCUGGUUCUCCUCGAAAGCUAUUUAGGUAGCGCCUCAUAUGUAUCCUCUCGGGGGUAGAGCACUGUUAUGGCUAGGGGGUCAUCGCGACUUACCAAACCAUUGCAAACUCCGAAUACCGAGACGGACUGUAUGGGAGACACACGGCGGGUGCUAACGUCCGUCGUGAAAAGGGAAACAACCCAGACCCACAGCUAAGGUCCCAAAUUCACUGCUAAGUGGAAAACCAUGUGGAAAGGCACAGACAGCCAGGAGGUUGGCUUAGAAGCAGCCACCCUUUAAAGAAAGCGUAAUAGCUCACUGGUCGAGUCGGUCUGCGGGGAAGAUUUAACGGGGCUAAGCAGUGAACCGAAGCUUGGGGUGCAUACUUUGUAUGCGCGGUAGAGGAGCGUUCCGUAAGCCGUUGAAGGUGGAUUGAGAAGUCUGCUGGAGGUAUCGGAAGUGCGAAUGCUGACAUGAGUAACGAUAAUGCGGGUGAAAAACCCGCACGCCGAAAGCCCAAGGUUUCCUUGCGCAACGUUAAUCGGCGCAGGGUGAGUCGGCCCCUAAGGCGAGGACGAAAGUCGUAGUCGAUGGGAAGCAGGUUAAUAUUCCUGCACCUCGCGUAAGUGCGAUGGAGGGACGGAGAAGGUUAGGUGUACCAGGCGUUGGUUGUCCUGGGGAAAGGCGGUAGGUUUGGAUCUUUGGCAAAUCCGGGAUCCUCUAAGACCGAGCACCGAGACGAGCCUUUAUGGCGAAGUCACUGAUACCACGCUUCCAGGAAAAGCUCCUAAGCUUCAGCUUACGCAGACCGUACCGUAAACCGACACAGGUGGGUAGGAUGAGAAUUCUCAGGCGCUUGAGAGAACUCGGGUGAAGGAACUAGGCAACAUGGCACCGUAACUUCGGGAGAAGGUGCACCCUUUUUGGUGGCUCGUGCGAGCUAUAGCUGAAGAGGGUCGCAGUAACCAGGCCGCUGCGACUGUUUAUCAAAAACACAGCACUCUGCAAACACGAAAGUGGACGUAUAGGGUGUGACGCCUGCCCGGUGCUGGAAGGUUAAUUGAUGGGGUCAGCCGCAAGGCGAAGCUCUUGAUCGAAGCCCCAGUAAACGGCGGCCGUAACUAUAACGGUCCUAAGGUAGCGAAAUUCCUUGUCGGGUAAGUUCCGACCUGCACGAAUGGCGUAACGACAGCGGCGCUGUCUCCACCCGAGACUCAGUGAAAUUGAAAUCGCUGUGAAGAUGCAGCGUUCCCGUGGCAAGACGGAAAGACCCCGUGAACCUUUACUAUAGCUUUACACUGAACGUUGAGUUCGUCUGUGUAGGAUAGGUGGGAGGCUAUGAAACUGUGGCGCUAGCUGCAGCGGAGCCAUCCUUGAAAUACCACCCUGUCGUGCUUGACGUUCUAACCUGGGCCCAUUAUCUGGGUCGGGGACCGUGUAUGGUGGGUAGUUUGACUGGGGCGGUCUCCUCCUAAAGAGUAACGGAGGAGCUCGAAGGUACGCUCAGCGCGGUCGGACAUCGCGCACUGUGUGCAAAGGCAUAAGCGUGCUUGACUGCAAGAUCGACGGAUCAAGCAGGUAGGAAACUAGGACUUAGUGAUCCGGUGGUUCUGUAUGGAAGGGCCAUCGCUCAACGGAUAAAAGGUACUCCGGGGAUAACAGGCUGAUACCGCCCAAGAGUUCAUAUCGACGGCGGUGUUUGGCACCUCGAUGUCGGCUCAUCACAUCCUGGGGCUGUAGUCGGUCCCAAGGGUAUGGCUGUUCGCCAUUUAAAGUGGUACGCGAGCUGGGUUCAGAACGUCGUGAGACAGUUCGGUCCCUAUCUGCCAUGGGCGUUGGAGAUUUGAGAGGGGCUGCUCCUAGUACGAGAGGACCGGAGUGGACGAACCUCUGGUGUUCCGGUUGUCACGCCAGUGGCAUUGCCGGGUAGCUAUGUUCGGAAGCGAUAACCGCUGAAAGCAUCUAAGCGGGAAGCGCGCCUCAAGAUGAGAUCUCCCGGGGCACAAGCCCCCUGAAGGAACCAUGUAGACUACGUGGUUGAUAGGUCAGGUGUGUAAGUACAGCAAUGUAUUGAGCUAACUGAUACUAAUGAUCCGUGCGGCUUGACCAU
rnacentral:rRNA from 1 species